UCAUCUUUUUUGUCAGCUUCCUUUAGUUGAAUCUCAUAUUUUUGAAAUUACUAAAAUUUUUCUUUCACCAGUUUAUCUAGAUCUACUUUUUUGUCUUGAAAGUCUCACUGAAGAUUUCUUUCCAGCAAAAUGAAUAUAGCCAUUAAUAACUCCACAAUUGAUAUUUGUGGCUAGUUGAUAUUUUCCAACAUGACUUCAAGAAGGAGAAAGACAUUUCUCUCAUAUAUUAUCAUAUUUGACAGGUUGGUUGCUAUGGUAAAUGCUUCCCAGAUAUGAUACCAUUGAGUGUUUGUUUUGUUUUGUUUUUUGUUUUUUGUUUUGCAGGAUCUACGCUGCUUGGCCAGAGAACUCAGUGGAAAUUCUAUUCAAAGACUCACUGGUUCGAUGCCUGGGUUUAACAAUCAGAUCUUAGGAGAUUAAUGCUUUUAAGAGGUUCAUAAACUGAGAGAGAUCUUAAGAAAUUGGAUGAAGAGGACAUGACUGCAUCAGAAAAAGAAAAGUAGUGUAAAAGAGAAAAAAAAAGAAAGAAAAUUGAAUAGAUGGACCUGCUAACAGAAUAAGGCCCCAGGCCUCUCUUCCACGUUUUGACUCAGAUGUGGUUGUUUCUGAAGGACUGCGGCUUUGACCUCUUCCGCCCCUCUGCGGGAGGGUCUCACCGAACAAUGGCUGAAUGAGCAAUGGCUGAAUGUCGGCUGCACCCAGGAACACUUGAUGGACCCUGCUGCUGCCGGUGCCCUGAGACUGCGGCCAGGUGCCAGCGCGCCAAGUAAAAGUUCCUGAGACAGUGUAGCAGCAGUUUAUCAGGGAUUAUGGAAAAUCACAACACACAUCUGGCACCAGGCUUCACCCUUAAUGACUUUGUUCCAGCACCAGCAAAUGUGGCCGCCUUCUGGGGUCUGCUGGGACCAGGUGGCCUCAACAGUCUCUACCAAAUGUCCUUCCAGAAGUGGAACCGCUUUUCCCCGGGUGGCCUGAGAACCUCCUGGACCCCACUCUGUUCCUGGGGAUUUGCCCUUCCCACCAGAGCACCGCCAGGUAUCGAGCUGUGCAGUUGCAGACUGCGCUCCCCUUGUUUACAGUCUUAACGGAAUUUAAACCCUCUCAUUUCUCCCUUUUUAGUUUAGGCCCUGUGGCUGUUUCUAAUUUUCUACUUUCUCUCCAGCUGCUUUUGGGGAGGGGUGAUUUUCCCAUAUUCUCCCUCCCACCUCCAGUCUCCGUCCUCUCUCCGCUGACAAAAACACCUCCCUUCCUGCGCCUUCUCGCUCCCCAAGUUCACUUCUCCGUGUCGCGUACCUGCUGAAUUCUGUGGUUCAGGUUGUGCAGAUUGUUUUGUUAAUCGUCCGGUCAGUUUUCUAGGUGUGUAGGAUGGUUUAGUGUCGGUCUGGCUGUAUCUCAUGGACGCGAGACACACAAAAAACUUCCUUGCUGUUCUGCCAUCUUGGCUCCUCCUUUAUUUUUAUUUUUUAAUUUAUUUCGAGAGGGGGUUGGUACAGAGAAAGCAAGGGAGACAGGAAAUUUCAAGGAAGUUCUGCACUGUCAGCUGAAAUCAAGAGUUGACACUUAACUGACUGAGCCACCCAGGUACCCCAAUGGAAGGCGAAUUUAAAGUGCAGGAGAGAGGGGCGCCUGGGUGGCUUAGUCGGUUUAACAUCUGACUUGGGCUCAGGUCAUGAUCUCACAGUUUGUGAAUUCAGAUCCUCUGUCUCCUUCUCCCUCUGUACCUCCCCAGCUUGCACAUGGGCUCUCUUUCAAAAUUAAAUAAACAUUAAA